rnacentral:piRNA from 1 species
UGUACAUGCGCAGUGUCCUAGUGCCC